UUUUGUAUCAAUUUAGUGUUAAGAGUUUGAUAAUUUAAUCAUAAAAAUAGUUCAAAUUUCAUAUGAGACAAACUAAGAAACACUGUUUUCACAAACUUUACCCCCAACUUUUCUCUCCUAAUCACGCGAUUCACGCUUGUGCAAUAGCUCUUGGGAGACAGUUUGAGGGAAAGAGAGAGGUGCAAUAGAGAUAAAGAGAUGGAAAACAAGCUCAUCACAUUGAAUUCAAUGCAAAACAUAUGAUCAAAACCAUGACUCAACUCUUACACAAAGGUUCGUUUGAUCUCUCUCCAUAUAUGAAAAAUGGAGUUCUUAAAUAUGGUAUUCAAUCCUUUUAAUUGAUGUAUCGUCACUUAUGUGAGUUAUCUACUUCUCGAUUUCAUCAUUUUAAAAAGAAUCUUUCAAUCGGGGAAGUGAAUGCUUAGAUUAAUUUUCUGAUUACAAAAAAGAAGUCGCUGAAAAAUCUAAGCCUUAAAUGUAUAAUUGACUACAUGUUAUAAUACAAUCACAUUUUGUAUAUUUGUUAUUGCUAUCAACUAUAACUUUUUGC
rnacentral:lncRNA from 1 species